rnacentral:rRNA from 1 species
UACGUAGGGGGCAAGCGUUGUCCGGAUUUAUUGGGCGUAAAGCGCUCGCAGGUGGUCCGUUGCGUCGUGCGUGAAAGACCCCGGCUCAACUGGGGAGGGUCACGCGAUACUGAUCGACUGGAAGGCAGGAGAGGGUAGUGGAAUUCCCGGUGUAGUGGUGAAAUGCGUAGAUAUCGGGAGGAACACCAGUGGCGAAGGCGACUACCUGGCCUGUUCUUGACGCUGAGGCGCGAAAGCUAGGGGAGCAAACGGG